rnacentral:rRNA from 1 species
GGGCCCGCACAAGCGGAGGAACAUGUGGUUUAAUUCGAUGAUACGCGAGGAACCUUACCCGGGCUUAAAUUGCAAAUGAAUAAGCUGGAAACAGUUUAGCCGCAAGGCAUUUGUGAAGGUGCUGCAUGGUUGUCGUCAGCUCGUGCCGUGAGGUGUCGGCUUAAGUGCCAUAACGAGCGCAACCCUUAUUUAUAGUUACCAUCAGGUUAUGCUGGGGACUCUAUGAAGACUGCCGUCGUAAGAUGUGAGGAAGGUGGGGAUGACGUCAAAUCAGCACGGCCCUUACGUCCCGGGGCUACACACGUGUUACAAUGGGGGGUACAGCAGGUUGCUACACAGCGAUGUGAUGCUAAUCCGUAAAACCUCUCUCAGUUCGGAUCGAAGUCUGCAACCCGACUUCGUGAAGCUGGGAUUCGCUAGUAAUCGCGCAUCAGCCACGGCG